CCCUCCUGCAAAGGCCUGUCUGUGGUUCCCUGUCUUUGGACAUAAGAACUGGAGGCAAAGAAAUGUGGACGUGGAGAAGUCUGCAGGAGCUUGCUCCCUGCAGGCUCACGACCAACCAUCCCACGUCG